AGAAAUACAAUGGACUGAACCCAAUCUGGAUCAAUUUUGAGUGAUAUUGGUGGGAUUUCAGGUAUUUGUAGUGGGCGGUAAAGGAUCGGAAAGGGCAUACCCAACAACAACUUGACGAGGUCCGCAUUGAAGUAGCCGACUACUUACAGACUCUGUUGUAGGUUCUGACCAGUUUCUUGAUUUUGAGUUAGUUUUAACCAACUUUUUUGUAGCAAUUAUGAACAAACAAGAAUACUAAUUGCUAGGCUAGCCUUGUAGUAUAUAGGUGCAUAUAUGAAUUGGGGUUUUAUUUUGCCCAUUUUGUAAACUGUUAAGGAUGAUGAAUGUCGGAUAUAAUACCCCAAUUUGCAAUUUAUAAUCACAGUUCUAUUUUGUGGACA